UUUUUUGGAAUUGAGAAUAAAAAAGAGAAGCUUACCUUUCAUACAGAGAGGAAAAGCUAAGGGGGAUGAGGCCGGGCUUAGAGAAGGAAGACUAUUAGAAGCUAGGGAGAUUAUUGCUUGAAGGAAGGUUCUUCUAGGUAUGGUCACCAUUGAAAACUUGUACCUUUCUUAUUUUCAUAUGACUGUGCUUUGCUUUCUUGCACAAUUCUAAGUAUUCUA
rnacentral:lncRNA from 1 species